UACGAAGGGGGGCUAGCGUUGCUCGGAAUUACUGGGCGUAAAGCGCACGUAGGCGGCUUUCUAAGUCGGGGGUGAAAUCCUGGAGCUCAACUCCAGAACUGCCUUCGAUACUGAGGAUCUUGAGUUCGGGAGAGGUGAGUGGAACUGCGAGUGUAGAGGUGAAAUUCGUAGAUAUUCGCAAGAACACCAGUGGCGAAGGCGGCUCACUGGCCCGAUACUGACCGCUGAGGCACGAAAGCGUGGGGAGCAAACAGG
rnacentral:rRNA from 1 species